rnacentral:rRNA from 1 species
CACGUAGGGGGCAAGCGUUGUCCGGAUUUAUUGGGCGUAAAGAGCUCGUAGGUGGUUCGGUAAGUCAGGUGUGAAACCUCCAGGCUCAACCUGGAGACGCCACUUGAUACUGCUGUGACUGGAGUCCGGUAGGGGAGCGUGGAAUUCCUGGUGUAGCGGUGAAAUGCGCAGAUAUCAGGAGGAACACCAGCGGCGAAAGCGGCUCACUGGACCACAACUGACGCUGAUGCGCGAAAGCUAGGGGAGCAAACAGG